rnacentral:rRNA from 1 species
AGUGAACGCUGGCGGUAGGCCUAACACAUGCAAGUCGAACGGCAGCACAGUAAGAGCUUGCUCUUACGGGUGGCGAGUGGCGGACGGGUGAGGAAUACAUCGGAAUCUACUUUUUCGUGGGGGAUAACGUAGGGAAACGUACGCUAAUACCGCAUACGACCUACGGGUGAAAGCAGGGGAUCUUCGUACCUUGCUCGAUUGAAUGAGCCGAUGUCGGAUUAGCUAGUUGGCGGGGUAAAGGCCCACCAAGGCGACGAUCCGUAGCUGGUCUGAGAGGAUGAUCAGCUACACUGGAACUGAGACACGGUCCAGACUCCUACGGGAGGCAGCAGUGGGGACUAUUAGACAAUGGGCGCAAGCCUGAUCCAGCCAUACCGCGUAGGUGAAGAAGGACUUAGGGUUGUAAAGCCCUUUUGUUGGGAAAGAAAAGCAGCAGGUUAAUACCCCGCUGUUCUGGCGGUACCCAAAGAAUAAGCACCGGCUAACUUCGUG